GAUGAACGCUGACAGAAUGCUUAACACAUGCAAGUCGACUGGUGGCGGACGGGUGAGUAACGCGUAAAGAACUUGCCUCACAGGUAGGGACAACAUUUGGAAACGGAUGCUAAUACCUAAUACUGUGAGAGAGCGUUGCGUCACAUUAGCUAGUUGGAGAGGUAACUGCUCACGAAGGCGAUGAUGGUUAGCCGGCCUGAGAGGGUGAUCGGCCACAAGGGGACUGGGACACGGCCCUUACUGAUACGGGAGGAAGCAGUGGGGAACUGUGGACAAUGGACCAAUGUCUGAGGAAGCAAUUCGGUGUGUAAGACGAAGUUUUCGGAAGGUAAAGUGCUUUCAGUUGGGAAGCGGUACCAACAGAAGAAGUGACGGCUAAAUACGUGCCAGCAGCCGCGGUAAUUC
rnacentral:rRNA from 1 species